AAAAAACCACUGCAAAUAAUCCAGGCAGGCUCCUUAUCUAAACAUCUCAUGCGAGCUAUGCAAGCAGAAAGACUCAGACUAGGUGUCAGACAAAUGGUUAACCACUGUAACUAAGAAUAAUCGUGCUUAAGCUACAUAACCUUUGCUUAAGCCAUAGAAUAGGAAAACUUCCUGCAGUUAUUUCCUUGUAGCUUAACAGUAGAGCAAUAGAAUAGUAACCUCACAACAGAAACAACAAACUAGCCCUUAUAAUGGAACAUAGAUACUAAACUUUAGAAUAGAAUAUAGAAACAUAGACAAUAGAUAAGAUUAAAAUCAGCAGAGCUAAAUAGAAAUAAGAAUUUUAGCACAGGUCAAACAAGAAACUGUAAACAUAAAACAAGAAACUGCAAAAGGACAAAGCAGGA